UGUUCUAGGGCCAUUAACCCAGAAGUUUCCCCCAUCACUUCUGCUGGACUAUGAAUUUUCUAACGUUAACAACAACAAAACAACAACCUCUGCCACCCAUUAGAGACACUGUAAGGUAAAAUCACACAUUUAGUUCAAGAUGAAGCCUAAUUUAUUCAAGGAAAGAGAUCUAAAUUUUACCCACGUGUCCUGCCUAACAGAGAAGGUACUGUACCAUCAAGCUGAGUGCGGUGACGUGAUCGUGACUCACCACAGCUUCAAACUUCUGGGCUCCAGCAAUCCUCUUGUCUCAGCCUCCAAAGUAGGUAGUACUGCAGGCGGGUGCCACUACACCUGAAUUUUUUUUUAUUUUUGU
rnacentral:lncRNA from 1 species